CACGUAGGGGCGAGCGUUGUCCGGAAUUAUUGGGCGUAAAGAGCGCGCAGGUGGUUGAUUAAGUCUGAUGUGAAAGCCCACGGCUUAACCGUGGAGGGUCAUUGGAAACUGGUCGACUUGAGUGCAGAAGAGGGAAGUGGAAUUCCAUGUGUAGCGGUGAAAUACGUAGAGAUAUGGAGGAACACCAGUGGCGAAGGCGGCUUCCUGGUCUGUAACUGACACUGAGGCGCGAAAGCGUGGGGAGCAAACAGGAUUAGAUACCCUGGUA
rnacentral:rRNA from 1 species